AUUGAACGCUGGCGGCAGGCCUAACACAUGCAAGUCGAGCGAGCGGCGGACGGGUGAGUAAUGUAUGGGGAUCUGCCCGAUAGAGGGGGAUAACUACUGGAAACGGUGGCUAAUACCGCAUACUAUCGGAUGAACCCAUAUGGGAUUAGCUAGUGGGGGGGGUAAAGGCUCACCUAGGCGACGAUCCCUAGCUGGUCUGAGAGGAUGUGCAGCACCACGGGGCCUGAGCCACGGCCCAGAUUCCUCCGGGAGGAAGCAUUGGGGAACAUUGGAAAAUGGGGGAAAGCUGGCUGCAGCCAUGCGGCGUGUAUGAAGAGGGUCUUAGGGUUGUAAAGUACGUUCAGCGGGGAGGCGUUACCCGCAGAAGAAGCACCGGCUAACUCCGUGCCAGCAGCCGCGGUAAUUC
rnacentral:rRNA from 1 species